rnacentral:tRNA from 1 species
GUAUUUGUGGUUCAGUGGUAGAACUCUUGCCUUCUAUGCAAGAGACAUGGGUUUGAUUCCUGCCAAGGCA